rnacentral:lncRNA from 1 species
UUGGCAUCAACUAUAUAGUUUUCAAACCAUGGUCUAACCAAAAGGGGUUACAAAAAUUUCCUUAAAUCACUCUCAUCCAAAAAAAAAAUACAGAUACAUUUCCUCCAACUUCUAAAAAUGGCAUCCCAAUACACGUCAUAUUAGUAUUAACAUGCUCGAACAGAGUUUUUGAAAUUUUCCAUUAGAUGACAAAAGUGAACUCAAAUUUCUGUCAGUGUGUCUAGACUCUAGAAGACAUAGGUACUAAGCAUUUUUAUUAGCAAGAAAAGAAAAGAAAUAUACACGAUCUAUUGGAGUACUUGUAUUAGUCC